GUCCCUUCAGGGACAUCCGAUAAAAAUGGAACGAUACAGAGAAGAUUAGCAUGGCCCCUGCGUAGGAAUGACACGCAUAAAUCGAGAAACGGUCCAAAUUUUU
rfam:Capsicum annuum cultivar Zunla-1 chromosome 4, whole genome shotgun sequence